AAGAGGCUGCUCUCAGUGUCACACUGCAACAGCAUGUGGCCCAGAAGGCUGAAGAGAAAGAAUAAAAGAAUUAUUUUAAUAACGUCUUAGGCCCCAGAUGGAAGCUAUAUUGGUUUGCAAACAAGAUUGGGUUUGUUUGGAUAAAGGUGAUAAGUUCAAGGAUGUUUCAUGGGGUACUUGUCAACAUCAGUCUGCCUCAUCUGAAUAUCUCCAAUACAUUGACCUCUAUGAGAUCAUCAAAUGGCACUGAAGUAUUAUAGCAGAAGAACAAGAAAGCUUGUAUCAUAUAGAAGGCAUUAUGUUGGAAAUGAGCAAAUGCAUUUCAUAGAAUCACAGAAUCAGAAUAUCCUGAAUUGGAAGGCACAUACAAGGAGUCCACCAUAUCUAAGUAUGGCAUUUUUGUGAAAAGAGCAAUUUGUGUUGCUGCAGUUGUUUGAAAUAAAAGCACAAGUGCUGCAGUUAAGGAUGUGGAUCCAACUUCUGAGAACUCAGCAGGCUUUCUGCAUCACUUGGUAAUAGGCAGCUUCAGCCUCUGCAAGCUGACAAGUCAAAAAACAAGUUACUCCUUUCCAGAGGAGGUUCAUCAUCUUAGCUCUACCUAAUAGCAGUUGUUUAAGAAAUGGUGUAGUGUUUUCAAAUCAGCAGCUGAAACAUUGCAAUGGACAGCAUACUCUAAUGGACAAGGAUAGAGCUGUGCUGGUGCACCAAACCAUGAUGCAUUGCAGGUCAGCAGUUGCCAUGCAAACAGCUCAGGAUAGUGGCAACAGUCAUCCUUGUCAGUCCAAGAGGUGUCAACUGGAGAAGCUAUGGCGAGCCAGGCAGUCUGAAAGGGAAAAUGUUGUGAAGUUUUGAGAAUGAAAGAAGAUUAAAACAAACACAUAAACAAAUAAAUAACAUCAGAAGUCUUUGCAAUAUGAUUGUGAUUGAAUUAAGCUGAGAAGGGGUAAGACCCAAUCACGUUGCAUCAUAUUACAGUACACAGAAGUUGAGGGCUAUUCUGUCCAUGCGAAGUAGACAGGAACUUGGCUUUUAUGGCAUCACCUAGAUGGGUUUUACACAGACAGAGAUUAAGAAUUUUGCCUGUUUUGAUGAAUAAUGUAGUGAAUCAUUUUUCUUACAAAAUAUUUUGACAGUAAGUGAAAUCUGGAGAUAUAUGUUAGAACAUAACUGAAGCUGAAAUGAAUCUAAGAACUGGAAGAAGUAUGCAGCUUUAGAAGCUUUAAACAAUUACAUGACUGUAGGGAACAUACUGUCCAUGAAGACCUAAUGAGCAUUAUUCUUAAUGGAGACCCUGGAGUAAUUCGAGGCCAGGCUGGACUGGGCUCUGGGAAAACUCAUCCAGCUGUACGUGUCCCUGAUUGUUGCUGGGAAGUUGGACUAGAUGGUCUUUAAGGGACCCUUCCAAUUCAAAAGGUUCUAUGAUUCUUUGAUUCUGUUAGACCUGCCUUCUCCUUCAGAAUUCUAAUCACUCUGCUGCCAAUCUCUAACUGAAAGCACAACAGAAGUACGCAUUUAUUUACCAAAGAUGAACAUUCAGUGAGUUAGCUGGGUACUAUUGUGGGGAAAGAAAAGAUGUUUUUUGCAUAACAGUAAGAUGACUCCAGAGAGGUCCAAAGAGGCGCCACAGAGCUCCGAUGCAAGAUACAUUCCUGCUUGCAGAAUAGAAGAUCUGCAUUUUUGAGUAACAUCAGCAGCUGUACUGGUACAAACUGGUUCUAUGGUUUUGAAUGAUAGCCAGAGGGGAAGGUUAACUAUGAGACGUUAUCCCAGCAUGCCACAGUAAGUAAAAACUAAACUAGAAUAUGAGGAGAUCAAGGAGGGAAUAACCAAGAAGUAAAAAGGGGCAGAAAGGCAAUUAGAAAUGGUGGAUAGGCUGUAAACCCUGGAGUAUGUGACCAAUGGGGAAACGAGAGUGAAUUUAAGCCAGGAAGCCGGAAAUAUAAACUGCUGGGUCUCUCUGGUCCUACACACCUUUUAUCAUUGUUGCCCUCUCUUGCAAAAGCAUGAAAUAAAUUAUGAUUCAU
ensembl:lncRNA